rnacentral:rRNA from 1 species
CGCGUAGGCGGCCUGCUAAGUCUGGAGUGAAAGUCCUGCUUUCAAGGUGGGAAUUGCUUUGGAUACUGGUGGGCUGGAGUGCAGGAGAGGAAAGCGGAAUUACCGGUGUAGCGGUGAAAUGCGUAGAGAUCGGUAGGAACACCAGUGGCGAAGGCGGCUUUCUGGACUGAAACUGACGUUGAUGCGCGAAAGCGUGGGGAGCGAACA